AUUGAACGCUGGCGGCAUGCUUUACACAUGCAAGUCGAACGGUAACAGGCCUUCGGGUGCUGACGAGUGGCGAACGGGUGAGUAAUGCAUCGGGACGUGCCCAGAGGUGGGGGAUAACGCAGCGAAAGCUGUGCUAAUACCGCAUGUGAUCUGAGGAUGAAAGCGGGGGACCAAGCAGCAAUGUUUGGCCUCGCGCCUCUGGAGCGGCCGAUGUCAGAUUAGGUAGUUGGUGGGGUAAAGGCCUACCAAGCCGACGAUCUGUAGCUGGUCUGAGAGGACGACCAGCCACACUGGGACUGAGACACGGCCCAGACUCCUACGGGAGGCAGCAGUGGGGAAUGUUGGACAAUGGGCGCAAGCCUGAUCCAGCAAUGCCGCGUGCGGGAAGAAGGCCUUCGGGUUGUAAACCGCUUUUGUACGGAACGAAAAGGCUCUGGCUAAUACCUGGGGCUGAUGACGGUACCGGAAGAAUAAGCACCGGCUAACUACGUG
rnacentral:rRNA from 1 species